rnacentral:rRNA from 1 species
GACAGAGGUGCCAAGCGUUAGGCGGAAUCACUGGGCUUAAAGCGUGUGUAGGCGGAUCGUUAAGUGCCUUGUGAAAUCCCACGGCUCAACCGUGGAACUGCUCGGCAUACUGGCGGUCUUGAGCAACCUAGGGGCGAGCGGAACAAAUGGUGGAGCGGUGAAAUGCGUAGAUAUCAUUUGGAACGCCAAUGGUGAAAACAGCUCGCUGGGGGUUUGCUGACGCUGAGACACGAAAGCCAGGGGAGCAAACGGG